GCCUGCUUAGCACAGGGGCAGUGCGCUGCUCUCGUACUUUAAACAGACAAGCAGAGGUCAUCAGUUCAAUUCUGAUAGUAGGCA
rnacentral:tRNA from 1 species